GGAGGGAUAGUUGAGUCUGGGAAGGACGCUUGUCACAUGGACAAUUUCGAGUGUCACGUGGACAUGAGAGCGUGGGUUCAAAUCCCACUCCCUCCG
rnacentral:tRNA from 1 species